AGACGGGAAGAAAUCGUAGAUGAGAAUGGACCGUCAGACAUUAAUAUAGAUAACUAGCUAGUUAGUCAGUUUUCUAUAAAACAUAAUUGUAGUUUUGUGAAGUGAAGUGAAAAAGCAAAGCUGAAUGUGAUGCUAACUAGUUUAUUAUUUCACAAAAAUUUAAUGCUAUUUAGCUAGGUUGUCUAAAUUGUAAUAGCUAGCUACAAAUUCAGUAGCUGGCUAACUAGAUGACUAAUGUUGUCGCAGAUUUAAGGUGUUUAACAGGGGAAAGAGUUACCAGUGGUUUUAUAUAUUGUGUACACGUGCACUUAGCUACCUGGCUGUAUUUGUAUUGGUUAGUGCAGAUUUAAGGUGCUUAAGAGGGGAUAGUGUGUUUGUAGUGGUUUUUAUAUAUAUUGUACACAUGUACUUGGCUACCCGGCUGUAUGUGUCUUGCAGAGUAUGGAUCAGAGCCCCAGAAAGCGGUUUGCGAGAGCUUGCAACAACAACAAAACAUCCUGUGUAGUAGCAAUGUAAAAAUACAAAAACAGCACAUCACACCCAGGAGAUUUCUGUAGCACAGUUGGUAGAGCAUGGCGCUUGUAACGCCAGGGUAGUGGGUUCGAUUCCCGGGACCACCCAUACGUAGAAUGUAUGCACACGUUUUUGGAGUCGCUUUGGAUAAAAGCGUCUGCUAAAUGGCAUAUAUUAUUAUAUAUUAUUAUUUCCUUUAUCCCACCUGGCCUGUCAGAAGUCAAGAUAGAGCCACCAGCAUGUUGCUUACACCUAUCCAAUACUUCCAGAUCCACACAACGGGACAGUACGAGUGCCCCUACAACACCAUACCAGCAGGGGCCCAGGCAGUACUGGACAAAAUGCAAUACUCUUUGAGAGUAUUGUCACAUCGAGAUGUUUUACAUGAAGAAAUAUCUGCCAUUAAACCAUGGUCAAAUGAAUGUCAUUGGCAGCAGAGAACCGGAAGGAAAGGCAGCCAAAGGAGGAGUUGGCUUUGGGGGUACCUGGAGGCCAGUGUUUGUAACCACUGAAGAUGGACCUCUGUUUCCGAGGACAAGAGAUGAAAGAGUAGGUGGCAGGAAAGAUGAAGACCGAUGAGGCAGGAGGAGAGUAGAGAGAGGAGACAACAGGAGAGAUGCUGAGAGAGGAGGCAGGAGGAGAGCAGAGAGAUGUGGCGAACAUUGAAGAGGUGCAGGAGGAGUGAAACAGAGAGGAGGUGGGAGGCGAGAGUCAGACAGAGGAGGCGGAGAGCCCAGGAGCAGAGCAGAGAGAGGAGGUGGGUGGAAAUCAGUGGCAGGACAGGAGGUUAAGGAAGAUAAGUCAAAAGAGAGGACCACAGGGCUUCCAAGUAAGAAAUACACUAUGUACUUCAUAACACAAAGUAAAAAUGAUGUUUAAGUGCCACAAACUAUUUUUGGAUAACAAUUUGGCAAGUCAUUUGUGAAUGGGGGUCUACUUUUAGAAGAUCAGCCAGUGUUCUACUACUCGGACCCCAAAACAAAAGCCACAUGUUUUAAUUGUCCUGUCUUCUACCUCCGAGGUUUUCAUUCACUCCCACUGUGUUUAAUAAUCAUUGAAUUGGUACAAAUAGUUACUUCUUUAAAAUGCUGCUUUUGGUGGACGGUGUAGUGGUUGUUUCAACCGUGGCUGACAAGUGAAGGUUACAGUAGAGCUUUCUAAUAAAGUCAAUCUAAUGGUUUUGAAUUAUUGAAUGGGAGUGAAUGAGUGCAUUAGUCAGGGAAACGGCUAGCCUCGAAAUCCUAACUGAAUCAAGCUACAUUUCACUAAUGUUUCGCUUCACAAAUUCAGUCUGGAAUUCCCAUCGUAUUGAUGGCCUUUGUACAAAACGUAUUCAUAAAGCAAUUGGAGGUUUCGUGCUUUUAUCAUUAGGCCAAUGAGAAGGGGAAAAAAACGGAAUUAGUGAAGUGAAACGGUAGUAAAAAUCAUUGCGUAAGAGUGAAACGUUGUGUUGGAUCUCAACUCUAGGAGAAGGGAGAGAAUAAUGUCUUCAACAGAUAGUGUGGCGCCUUUGUCUGCACGCCGUGGUUAAUAGCAAGUUGUAAUAAUUGUCAGAAGACAAUGGGGUGAGAAUCAAUCGGAAUUGGGCAGCUUCUCUUCUUAACACCUAACUAGUUGCUCAGCCAACUAUGGGUACUUAAUCUAUUGUCACUCUAUCGAUUGUCCCUAAUAUUCAGGAGAAAAUAUCAAUUUUGAAACAUCAUGUAUCAAACAGGUAUGAUACACUUAUGUGUAUUGACUGCUGUAUUAAUUAAGUGUCUGAAGUUAUCUUUUGUUUUAGCUCAAACUUAUCCUAAAGGGUUUUUAACUUAUAGGUGAAUAUGCAAAUAUUUUGUUGCUCUGUCACAGCCUUUAUAGGUAGAUUCAGCUCGAUGACAUAGAUGCACAAAGUGAACAGCAGAAGUGGGUCAAUUUCCAUAGCAACUAAGAGUGUUGAAGCACAAGGCUUAACUUCUCUGCUGUUUUGGUCCCGUAACUACCACGUUGUAGCUGCGUGAAGCUAACCAGUGCACAUGCUCAGAUCCUUCGUGCGACUGUGUGAAUGCAAAGUCUUGCAUCGCGAUCGUUGCAAUAUCUGCAGUGCUGGUCAUGGCAACUCAAUAACACUAAGUCUACCUUUAAUUAUUCAAUGUAGAGAUAUCAGCAAGUGAUAUACUGUAUAUUCUGUGCCACUGAGCCCCCGAUGCACACUAUGGUUAUGGGGUGGGAGAAUUAUGUCUGAUUCAUCCCAAAGAUGUAUUGUGCCAAACUCUGAGCUACAAAAAACAAAAAAGUAAAUUUUGUGUGAGAAAAAGGGCCCAUCUCGCCUGCCUGGAGUUGAGGCGCUUGGCGCUGCGGAGACAUUCCAGGUUUUUAUGGUCUAUCCACACAAAGAAUGGAUGCUUCCGCCCCUUCUAACCAGUGCCUCUACUCCAACGCCAUCUUAACAGUGAGUCAUUCUCGAUAUCCCACGUUAUAGUUCCUAUCAGUGGGGUUAAGACAAUGGGAAGGGAAGGUGCAGGGAUCCAGCUUCUGGUCCUGGGCAGAACGCUGGGACAGGACAGCCCUCACUCCGAAGUCCGAGGCAUCGAACUCCACCAUGAACUGACGGGACGAGUCUGAAUGGAUUAAGAUUGGGGCUGUAGUGAAUCUUUGCUUGAGGUCUGAGAACGCCAGGGCAGCUGCUGGAGACCUUAUGAACGGAACCUUGGGAGAGUGCAGAGAGGGGUGAAGAAAGGGUGCUGUAACCCCAGACGAAACGACAGUAGAAAUGAGCAAACUCCAGGAAACAUUGCAGGUGCACUCUGGAUGUGGGUUGAGGCCAAUCCACCACCGCUCUCACCUUGUCAGGGUCCAUGUGAAUAUUCCCUGUAGCGAUGACGUAUCCUAGGAAGGAGGGGGUGGAGCGAUGGAACUCACUUCUCCAAGCCUUUAAAUAGCUUGGAAAAUUCCAGAAAAUUUUGUCAUGGCUUUAGAAGCUUCGGAUUGGCUAAUUGACAUCGUUUGAGUCAAUUGGAGGUGUACCUGUGGAUGUUUUUCAAGGCCUACCUUCAAACCCAGUGCCUCUUUGCUUGACAUCAUGGGAAAAUCCAAAGAAAUCAGCCAAGACCUCAGAAGAAAAAUUGUAGACCUCCACAAGUCUGGUUCAUCCUUGGGAGCAAUUUCCAAACACCUGAAGGUACCACGUUCAUCUGUACAAACAAUAGUACGCAAGUUUAAACACCAUGGGAUCACGCAGCCCUCAUGCCGCUCAGGAUGGAGAUGAAUGUACUUUGGUGCGAAAAGUGCAAAUCAAUCCCAGAACAACAACAAAGGACCUUGUGAAGAUGCUGGAGGA